UGGGGAAUAUUGCGCAAUGGGGGAAACCCUGACGCAGCGACGCCGCGUGCGGGAUGAAGGCCUUCGGGUUGUAAACCGCUUUUGAUUGGGAGCAAGCCUUUUGGGUGAGUGUACCUUUCGAAUAAGCGCCGGCUAACUACGUGCCAGCAGCCGCGGUAAUACGUAGGGCGCAAGCGUUAUCCGGAAUUAUUGGGCGUAAAGAGCUUGUAGGCGGUUCGUCGCGUCUGGUGUGAAAGCCCAUCGCUUAACGGUGGGCUUGCGCCGGGUACGGGCGGGCUAGAGUGCAGUAGGGGAGACUGGAAUUCCCGGUGUAACGGUGGAAUGUGUAGAUAUCGGGAAGAACACCAAUGGCGAAGGCAGGUCUCUGGGCUGUUACUGACGCUGAGAAGCGAAAGCGUGGGGAGCGAACAGG
rnacentral:rRNA from 1 species